AUGAACCACUUCGGUGGGGAUUAGUGGCGAACGGGUGAGUAACACGUGGGCAAUCUGCCCUGCACUCUGGGACAAGCCCUGGAAACGGGGUCUAAUACCGGAUACUGACCAUCGCAGGCAUCUGUGAUGUUCGAAAGCUCCGGCGGUGCAGGAUGAGCCCGCGGCCUAUCAGCUUGUUGGUGAGGUAAUGGCUCACCAAGGCGACGACGGGUAGCCGGCCUGAGAGGGCGACCGGCCACACUGGGACUGAGACACGGCCCAGACUCCUACGGGAGGCAGCAGUGGGGAAUAUUGCACAAUGGGCGAAAGCCUGAUGCAGCGACGCCGCGUGAGGGAUGACGGCCUUCGGGUUGUAAACCUCUUUCAGCAGGGAAGAAGCGAAAGUGACGGUACCUGCAGAAGAAGCGCCGGCUAACUACGUGCCAGCAGCCGCGGUAAUACGUAGGGCGCGAGCGUUGUCCGGAAUUAUUGGGCGUAAAGAGCUCGUAGGCGGCUUGUCACGUCGGUUGUGAAAGCCCGGGGCUUAACCCCGGGUCUGCAGUCGAUACGGGCAGGCUAGAGUUCGGUAGGGGAGAUCGGAAUUCCUGGUGUAGCGGUGAAAUGCGCAGAUAUCAGGAGGAACACCGGUGGCGAAGGCGGAUCUCUGGGCCGAUACUGACGCUGAGGAGCGAAAGCGUGGGGAGCGAACAGGAUUAGAUACCCUGGUAGUCCACGCCGUAAACGGUGGGCACUAGGUGUGGGCAACAUUCCACGUUGUCCGUGCCGCAGCUAACGCAUUAAGUGCCCCGCCUGGGGAGUACGGCCGC
rnacentral:rRNA from 1 species